AGCAGCCGCGGUAAUUCCAGCUCCAAUAGCGUAUAUUAAAGUUGUUGCAGUUAAAAAGCUCGUAGUUGAAUUUCGGGAUCAAUAUGUUGGUCGUGCCUCGGUACGUACUAGCUUAUUGGUUUCUCCUUUCUGAAGAACCAUGAUGUCAUUUAUUUGGUGUCGUGGGGAAUCAGGACUGUUACUUUGAAAAAAUUAGAGUGUUUAAAGCAGGCUCACGCUUGAAUACAUUAGCAUGGAAUAAUGAAAUAGGACGUUUGAUUCUGUUUUGUUGGUUUCUAGGAUCGACGUAAUGAUUAAUAGGGAUAGUUGGGGGCAUUAGUAUUCAAUUGUCAGAGGUGAAAUUCUUGGAUUUAUUGAAGACUAACUACUGCGAAAGCAUUUGCCAAGGAUGUUUUCAUUAAUCAAGAACGAAAGUUAGGGAUCGAAGACGAUCAGAUACCGUCGUAGUCU
rnacentral:rRNA from 1 species